rnacentral:rRNA from 1 species
ACGUAGUUAGCCGUGACUUCCUCGCCGGGUACCAUCACUCAGAAAGCUUUCCACUCUUUCUGCCUUUUGUCCCCGGCAACAGAGCUUUACGAUCCGAAGACCUUCCUCGCUCACGCGGCAUUGCUCGUUCAGGGUUCCCCCCAUUGACGAAAAUUCCCUACUGCUGCCUCCCGCAGGAGUCUGGGCCGUGUCUCAGUCCCAGUGUGGCCGUCCGCCCUCUCAGGCCGGCUAUGCAUCGUCGCCUUGGUGAGCCGUUACCUCUCCAACCAGCUAAUGCACCGCAGGUCCAUCUGCAUGCGGGACUCUUGUCCCCUUUACCAAAAAGAGAUGCCUCCUCUUUGCUCAUCCGGUAUCAGCCUUCCCGUUUCCAGUAACGUUCCUCCCGCUCAUCGCAGGCACGGUUUCCCCUACGUUCGUUACCUCCACCCGUUCGCCCUACUCAUACUCCGAAGUAUACUCCGUUCGACUUGCAUGUAUUAGGCAGUCGCCCGCAGGUCCGUUCACUCCGUGACG